UGGCAACUUAAGGCCAUCAGAGAGUGGACGUCUUUACCUUUCCCACCAAGCAGCCUGGGGGAAAAGCCUUAGAAUUUCAGCGUGAAGUGAAGGGUCUCCUCUUGCGUGGGGGUCUUCAUCUUCAUCUGCAGCAGGUAAUCCUUGCCAAAUUUUCUCUU